rnacentral:rRNA from 1 species
GAUGAACGCUGGCGGCGUGCCUAAUACAUGCAAGUCGAGCGAACAGACGAGGAGCUUGCUCCUCUGACGUUAGCGGCGGACGGGUGAGUAACACGUGGAUAACCUCCCUAUAAGACUGGGAUCACUUCGGGAAACCGGCGCUAAUACCGGAUAAUAUAUUGAACCGCAUGGUUCAAUAGUGAAAGACGGUUUUGCUGUCACUUAUAGCUGGAUCCGCGCCGCAUUAGCUAGUUGGUAAGGUAACGGCUUACCAAGGCAACGAUGCGUAGCCGACCUGAGAGGGUGAUCGGCCACACUGGAACUGAGCCACGGUCCAGACUACUACGGGAGGCAGCAGUAGGGAAUCUGCGGCAAUGGGCGAAAGCCUGACGGAGCAAGGCCGCGUGAGUGAUGAAGGUCUUCGGAUCGUAAAACUCUGUUAUUAGGGAAGAACAAAUGUGUAAGUAACUAUGCACGUCUUGACGGUACCGAAUCAGAAAGCCACGGCUAACUACGUG